rnacentral:rRNA from 1 species
UACAGAGGGGGCAAGCGUUAUUCGGAAUUAUUGGGCGUAAAGGGCUCGUAGGCGGUUUGUCGCGUCGGGAGUGAAAACCCAGGGCUUAACCCUGGGCUGGCUUCCGAUACGGGCAGACUAGAGGUAUGCAGGGGAGAACGGAAUUCCUGGUGUAGCGGUGAAAUGCGCAGAUAUCAGGAGGAACACCGGUGGCGAAGGCGGUUCUCUGGGCAUUACCUGACGCUGAGGAGCGAAAGCGUGGGGAGCGAACAGG